AGAGUUUGAUCCUGGCUCAGGAUGAACGCUGGCGGCGUGCUUAACACAUGCAAGUCGAACGAUGAUCCCCAGCUUGCUGGGGGGAUUAGUGGCGAACGGGUGAGUAACACGUGAGUAACCUGCCCUUAACUCUGGGAUAAGCCUGGGAAACUGGGUCUAAUACCGGAUAUGACUCUUCAUCGCAUGGUGGGGGGUGGAAAGCUUUAUUGUGGUUUUGGAUGGACUCGCGGCCUAUCAGCUUGUUGGUGAGGUAAUGGCUCACCAAGGCGACGACGGGUAGCCGGCCUGAGAGGGUGACCGGCCACACUGGGACUGAGACACGGCCCAGACUCCUACGGGAGGCAGCAGUGGGGAAUAUUGCACAAUGGGCGCAAGCCUGAUGCAGCGACGCCGCGUGAGGGAUGACGGCCUUCGGGUUGUAAACCUCUUUCAGUAGGGAAGAAGCGAAAGUGACGGUACCUGCAGAAGAAGCGCCGGCUAACUA
rnacentral:rRNA from 1 species